UACAGGAAACUGGAGUUAGAGGCCCUUUUGUUUACUGUGUUACACAAAUUCAAUUUGUCAGAGAGCUGGGUUUAUGAAUUAGGAAUGAGGGACGUUAGCAAAAUUAAAUGAUAAGGCCUUGGCCAGCUGCAGCUGAGAUGGGGCUGAUAAAUUGGAGCAGCCAGGCAGGAUUUGGUGAACUAAAACAAAGGCACGGUGUAAAUAUGUAAAAAAAAUGGAUAUUGGGCAUGAAUAUCUUAUAUCUCCUUCUUCCCUGCCCUUGUGGUACAGAAAACUGGGGGGGGAAGCAUUAAAAAAUUAGGAUUUCUCCUUUGGUGGAUGUUGUUUGCAGCAUCCUCACAUCCCAGGCUCUGGUUUGGCCUUGGCUUUGGGGCAGUUCUACAGCUCCAGCCUGUAUUUUGGGAGCAGACUGGCACAACUAUCCCAUGGCAACACCUGGUCCUCCCCUCCUUUCCCAGGGAGAAUUCUGCAGAGUUUCCAGAGCUCUGAGAUGCUGCACGUUCAGAUCCUACCCUUGGAUUCUGCUUCACGACAGCCCCAGGAUAUCUCUCCAGUCACUCCGGGAGCCACUCAUUUAUUGAUGUGCAAAGUGCUCUGCCUCUCAUACCCAAACCCACAGCGCCUGCGACCCCCAGCAGUGCACAGGAUCCUGCUGCACCCAGAAAUGAAGAAGUUUGCCCAGGAAUUAAAGCAAUCCCAUGCCCAGUGAAUGCAGAUUUGAAUAAAGCACCAUCACCAAAGGAGACAAAUUUGAAGUCAAGCAAUGGGAAGGAGGCACGUGUGGGGAUGUGGAUCAGCAGCAGCAGGAGAAGAACAGAGCCAGCUCAGCCCCAAAGUCCCACCCAACAGCACCAUCUCUCCCACAGGAAAAGUUAGAAAAUAAAACAGGAGAUGCUGGAAACCCAGCAAGGGUGACCAGAAUGAUGCUACAGAAAGAAGGAAGCAAAAUUAAAAAAAGCAGCUCGAUGACAAACGAGGCCCUUCAGUGCUGUGGGAUUUUCUCUUGUUCAUCACAGCCAGUGUCAGCCUCCCCAAAAAGAUAUAAAUACUACAAGAAACACCAGGAAAAACACCCCAGCAGCAGCCACCUUGACAUCCCUAACCAAAAAAUCCAGGAGCCACGAGGAAGGAGAACCUUUAAAUCACCAGGAAGCUCUGACAAUGCAGACCCUACUGUGCAAGAUUGCUUUUAAAAAGCACUUACUUUUUAUGGCCUAAUUUAAGGCGACAUUGAACGUUCUCAGGAAAACCUCCCAGUCCCUCCAAGGGCCCUGCCCUGCUAAAGUGUCUGCAAG